rnacentral:rRNA from 1 species
AGAGUUUGAUCAUGGCUCAGAAUCAACGCUGGCGGCGCGCCUAACACAUGCAAGUCGAACGAGAAAGUGGAGCAAUCCAUGAGUACAGUGGCGUACGGGUGAGUAACACGUGGGUAAUCUACCUCUUAGUGGGGAAUAACCAGGGGAAACUCUGGCUAAUACCGCAUAAGCCUGAGAAGGGAAAGCAGCAAUGCGCUGAGAGAGGAGCCCGCGGCCGAUUAGCUAGUUGGUGGGGUAAGAGCCCACCAAGGCAGAGAUCGGUAGCCGGCCUGAGAGGGCACACGGCCACACUGGCACUGAAACACGGGCCAGACUCCUACGGGAGGCAGCAGUGGGGAAUCUUGCACAAUGGGGGAAACCCUGAUGCAGCGACGCCGCGUGAGCGAUGAAGCUCUUCGGGGUGUAAAGCUCUUUCGUCAGGGACGAUAAUGACGGUACCUGGAGAAGCAGCUGCGGCUAACUACGUGCCAGCAGCCGCGGUAAUACGUAGGCAGCAAGCGUUGUUCGGAGUUACUGGGCGUAAAGGGUGUGUAGGCGGUUCUUUAAGUUUGGUGUGAAAUCUCCCGGCUCAACUGGGAGGGUGCGCCGAAUACUGAGGGACUAGAGUACGGGAGAGGAAAGUGGAAUUCCUGGUGUAGCGGUGAAAUGCGUAGAUAUCAGGAGGAACCCGGUGGUGUAGACGGCUUUCUGGACCGUAACUGACGCUGAGACACGAAAGCGUGGGUAGCAAACAGGAUUAGAUACCCUAGUAGUCC